AGCCACACAUCCUAAAACCUCAUCCCCUUUCUCUUUCUCUCUCUUUGGAAAACGGUCGGCUACCACCCUUCGUGGUGGAGCCACGGCAGCAGCGCGGCAUAUUGGUGGUCCCGGCUGGGGUGGAGCAGGGCUUUCAGGGGUGAUGGUGACAGGGGGAGGGGGUGUGCGAUGGAGUGGGGUUUGGUUCGGGCAGUGGUGGUAUGUGACGGUGGUUAGGUGGUUGUCGGUCACACGUCACCACCAAGCACCUGUUGGUGGGGAUUAUGUGAUGGUUGGAGGUGGAAGAAGAGAAAGAAAAAGGUGAAGGUCGUGAUUAAAAUCAGUUUGGUGAAGAAUCGAUGCAACUUGGAUCGAGAUCUGCAAUCUGUGCAAAUUUCGGUGAACAAUUUGAAUAAACAGAAAGCAUCUUCUUUGUUUGGUGCAAAAUUUUAACUUCAAAAAAUAAAAAGACUCAAGGUGAUAUUCAUCGAUUACUGUGUUUGAAAAAUCAUAAUUGGCUAUUCAAGGCUACAACUUCAGAUUAAAGAGUGUAUUUUAGUGAGAGAAACGAAGCUGAUUUUGGCGGGUAGUGGUGGUGGGUUGUUAGUGGUAACAAUGCACCGCCGCUGAAACUAUAGUUGUAACGGUAUGGAAUCGAUUUGGAUGGAUGGAGGUGGUGGUGUGGUGUGGAUAGGAAGAGAAACUGAGAUUAAGGGAGAUUGAGAUACAGGGAGACAUGAGAAAGGAGAAAGAGAAAGGGGAUAAAGGUUUGGGUUGUGCGUGGCUGUAAAAAUGAAAGAAAAAAAUAUAUAUUUUGAAUAUAGUAGUAAAAUUACUAACAUACCUUAAUGUGCAAGAUACGUGUCAUACUUAACUGAAAAUUUUAACCUGGUUUGUGCUAAAAGACCUACGGUGUAAUGACUUUUUCAAAUAAAAGAUUUUGACUAUAGUUAUUCAAGUUUAAAAGUAUCUAUUACAAUCCGAUAGAACCAUAAACAUAAAAGACGGAAAAUGAAAUUUACGUUUAAAGAUACUUUCUCCCAAGCCGGUGAAAUUGAGAACGGGUUUUUACAUAUAGUUUUCUUAAACCAUAAGAAUUGAGGAGGCGAAACUCUAGUCAAGUCUUUAUAUGAAGUUUCCAAACCACAAUUAUUAUUUUAUAAACUAUACAAAUGAAUUGUCAGUGUGCACAUGGAAUGUUGGUGAACCGUAAAGACGUGUUAUCAGAUCCAAUCAACAAAUCCCAAAUUUAUAACUUAUCCAUGCUCAUUUCCUCUCACCACGUUCCACGAUCACAUCCUCACAGAGUCACAUCUAAAGAAAAAUGGAGCAAAAAUCAUGGGUAUGUACGGUUACAAUACAACUCGCUCUCUGUUUUGCUCUGUACUGCGCUAUCAACAUAGGCCAGCCUCAAACAGCCAGUCCUCGUCUACCUAAUGAGAUUUACUUCAUAUCUGUUGUUGGUGGAUUAAGACCUCUUAAACAGCAAACCCUUCUUCUUAAACAGAUUGAGAAGGUGAUAUAUGCAUAUGAUGUGGGAUUUGUGAUUAACAUUAGUGAGCUUGGUGAAGAUGAUCCACUCUUGCAGCAUGCAACACAAUAUUUCAAUUCAUUGAGGGCUCCCUGUUGGUAGUCCUGAAAUUGUAGGUACACGACCGUAUCCGUAAAAGAGGAAGGACCAAAUUAUUUCUUCAAGCAGUUCAACAUUUCAAGUGGAAGAACAUUGGCUGUUAUAUCUUUAAAUACUAAAAAGUUACAGGAUUUUUCAAGUGGCAUAGAAGAACAAGAACUUCAGUUAAAACAGUUGUCAAGAACACUUGAGUUGAGCAACAGCAACUGGCAUAUUGCUGCUGUAGUUCAUCCGUUGUUCUGCAAUCAAAGUUUGGAGCAAACACGGGCAAAAGGAAACGAUUAUCUGCAUCAAAUGUUACUGAAACAUGGAGUGGACGCUUACCUAAGUGGACAGCCGUGUGAUAAUGAAGCUCGUAUAGGAGGACCGUAUUUGACCACUACAAGUCAAGGAUCAUAUACUCCCAAGGAAAUGGUAAAUAUGUUCCUUCUUCACAGAGUCAGUCCUCUCGAAAUCACAACUUAUGGUGUUGGUUUCAAUGGAGAAGUCAUUCUUGAAUCUACAGUAAGACAAAGAGGCAGAGACUCGAUGUAAUUGGUAAACCGUAUAGCUGUAAAAUUUUGCCGUUAUUUAAAGGAUACAAUUGCAAUUCAUUGAACAAGUAGUUGCAUCAUCUAUGAAUGUGUUUAGCCUACUGUUUUUAUCAUAACUAGAAAGCCAUAUGUUUGUGUGGAAACAAUUCAUUUGUCAAUUGCAGAGUAUAGUUUCUUCGUU